rnacentral:rRNA from 1 species
AUUGAACACUAGCGGCAGGCCUAACACAUGCAAGUCGAACGAGUGGCGGACGGGUGAGUAAUGUCUGGGAAACUGACUGAUGGAGGGGGAUAACUACUGGAAACGGUAGCUAAUACCGCAUACCAGCGGAUGUGCCCAGAUGGGAUUAGCUAGUAGGUGGGGUAAAGGCUCAACUAGGCGACGAUCCCUAGCUGGUCUGAGAGGAUGACCAGCCACACUGGACCGGAGAAACGGUCCAUACUCCUACGGGAGGCAGCAGUGGGGAACAGUGCACAAUGGGCGCAAGCCGGAUGCAGCAAUGCCGCGGGUAUGAAGAAGGCCUUCGGGUUGUAAAGUACCUUCAGCGGGGCGGCGUUACCCGCAGAAGAAGCACCGGCUAACUCCGUGCCAGCAGCCGCGGUAAUAC